AACCAUAGAAACCUGCGGAGUACCUGCGGAAGGAUCAUUACAGAGUUGCAAAACUCCCUAAACCAUUGUGAACGUUACCUAAACCGUUGCUUCGGCGGGCGGCCCGGGUCCUUCCCGGCGCCCAUCGGCCCUCGCGGGCGCCCGCCGGAGGUAAACCAAACUAUUGCAUUGUAUGGCCUCUCUGAGUCUUCUGUACCGAAUAAGUCAAAACUUUUAGCAACGGAUCUCAGAUCGGAAGAG
rnacentral:misc_RNA from 1 species